ACUCCAGCGUUACUCUUAGUAGGGUUUGAUUCAUCUCUGAGGUGACGCCAGCGUUACGCUCGUCGACUCUUAGUAGGGUUUGAUUCAUCUCUGAGGUGACGCCAGCGUUACGCUAGUCGACUCUUAGUAGGGUUUGAUUCAUCUCUAAGGUGACGCCAGCGUUACUCUUAGUAGGGUUUGAUUCAUCUCUAAGGGCAACUCCAGCGUUACGCUAGUCGACUCUUAGUAGGGUUUGAUUCAUCUCUGAGGUUACGCUAGUCGACUCUUAGUAGGGUUUGAUUCAUUUCUAAGGGGCAACUCAAGCGUUACUCUUAGUAGGGUUUGAUUCAUCUCUAAGGGCAACUCCACCGUUACGCUAGUCGACUCUUAGUAGGGUUUGAUUCAUCUCUAAGGGGCAACUCAAGCGUUACCCUAGUCGACUCUUAGUAGGGUUUGAUUCAUUUCUGUUUGGGGUUCACACUCUGUUUAGUCUAGGAAAUAGGAAAAGGCAAAAAAAAAAAAAAAAAAAGAAAAGCAACUUUGUUACACAAAUAUUCUAGUAUUGGAAAUCUGCACAGCGACAGCACUGUGGGAGAGAGCUGAGUUCAUGGUUGUGACUUCCACUCAGAGACAGGACUGUGAUCGGUGAGGAAACCUGCAUUACUGUCUCUGUCUCCAGCGUCCCCGUCACCACCACCACCACCUGAUCAAUCAGUGUCACCUUUUCAUUUGUUUUGUUCAAUAGUGUGCGUUUGUGAAAGAAAGAUUGUCUUGCUGUUCGAAGCCAGUAGAUCAUUAUGUUCCACACACAGUUAGCUGUCAAACACCACAGAACGAAGAAAAAAAAGAACAUUGUGAAAAGUGUGUGUAUGUUUGUCUGUCUGUUUUGUGUGGGUGUGAGCACAUAUGAGUGUGUUGUCUGUGUCUGUAUAUAUCUGUACCAAAGAGUUUGCCUUGAUCUGUAUAUUGCAGCCAUGUACAGUUUUUAAGAAAUCAUACUAUUGUAUCUUAGCUAAGAUUAUUUAGCGGGAUAGUAAUGUUUUAAUAAAGCAUUUGGAAGACGUGUGCAAACUCAUUUGUCUGUGCAGUGCAUUUCUCCUCAGUGAACCCAGUUUAAUUAACCAGACAAGGC
ensembl:lncRNA